CCUACGGGUGGCUGCAGUGAGGAAUAUUGCGCAAUGGGGGCAACCCUGACGCAGCGACGCCGCGUGAGUGAGGAAGGCCUUCGGGUCGUAAAGCUCUGUCAAAGGGAAAGAAGUGUGCAAUGGUUAAUACCUGUUGCAUUUGACGGUACCCUUAAAGGAAGCACCGGCUAACUCCGUGCCAGCAGCCGCGGUAAUACGGAGGGUGCAAGCGUGCGUCGGAGUUACUGGGCGUAAAGGGCGCGUAGGAUGUGAAAGCCCACGGAUUAACUGUGGAAGUGCAUUUGAAACUGUCAGACUUGAGUACCAGAGGGGAAAGUGGAAUUCCCGGUGUAGAGGUGAAAUUCGUAGAUAUCGGGAGGAAUACCGGUGGCGAAGGCGACUUUCUGGCUGGAUACUGACGCUGAGGCGCGAAAGCGUGGGGAGCAAACAGGAUUAGAUACCCUGGUAGUC
rnacentral:rRNA from 1 species